UGGGCGGGGCUGGAGGACCCAGGUGGGUGAGGGUGGAGGACCCAGAUGGGCGGGGCUGGAGGACCGAGAUAGGUGGGGCUGGAGGACCCGGAUAGGUGGGGCUGGAGGACCCCGAUGGGCGGGGCUGGAGGACCCGGAUAGGCGAGGCUGGAGGACCCGGAUAGGCGGGGCUGGAGGACCCGGAUGGGCGGGGCUGGAGGACCCGGAUGGGCGGGGCUGGAGGACCUAGAUAGGUGGGGCUGGAGGGCCUAGAUGGGCGGGGCUGGAGGACCUAGAUGGGCGGGGCUGGAGGACCCAGAUAGGUGGGGCUGGAGGACCCAGAUGGGUGGGGCUGGAGGACCCAGGUGGGCGGGGCUGGAGGACCCAGAAGCGUGCAUGUCCCCAAAACGGUGACAGCAAAGCGGUGCCCCAAAGUGAUGUCCCCAUG
rnacentral:lncRNA from 7 species